rnacentral:rRNA from 1 species
GAUGAACGCUGGCGGUAUGCCUAAUACAUGCAAGUCGAGCGAGUAGAUCCCUUCGGGGUGAAGCUAGCGGCGGACGGGUGAGUAACACGUGGGCAACCUGCCUCAUAGAGGGGAAUAGCCUUCCGAAAGGAAGAUUAAUACCGCAUAAGAUUGGAGUACCGCAUGGUAUAGCAAUUAAAGGAGUAAUCCGCUAUGAGAUGGGCCCGCGGCGCAUUAGCUAGUUGGUGAGGUAACGGCUCACCAAGGCGACGAUGCGUAGCCGACCUGAGAGGGUGAUCGGCCACAUUGGGACUGAGACACGGCCCAGACUCCUACGGGAGGCAGCAGUGGGGAAUAUUGCACAAUGGGGGAAACCCUGAUGCAGCAAUGCCGCGUGAGUGAUGACGGCCUUCGGGUUGUAAAGCUCUGUCUUCGGGGACGAUAAUGACGGUACCCGAGGAGGAAGCCACGGCUAACUACGUGCCAGCAGCCGCAGUAA